rnacentral:rRNA from 1 species
UGAGUGCGAGCGGCUACGGCCGCGAAGUGGGUGAUGUCAAGCUUCCAAGAAAAGCCCUAUACCCGUUAAGGCAUGAUGGCCUGUACCCGAAACCGACACAGGUGGGGUGGUAGAGAAUACCGAGGGGCGCGAGGUAACUCUCUCUAAGGAACUCGGCAAAAUGGCCCCGUAACUUCGGGAGAAGGGGUGCCACCGCAAGGUGGUCGCAGUGAAGAGGCCCAGGCGACUGUUUACCAAAAACACAGGUCUCCGCUAAGUCGCAAGACGAUGUAUGGGGGCUGACGCCUGCCCAGUGCCGGAAGGUUAAGGAAGCUGGUCAGCGCAAGCGAAGCUGGCGACUGAAGCCCCGGUGAACGGCGGCCGUAACUAUAACGGUCCUAAGGUAGCGAAAUUCCUUGUCGGGUAAGUUCCGACCCGCACGAAAGGCGUAACGAUCUGGGCGCUGUCUCGGAGAGAGGCUCGGCGAAAUAGAAUUGUCUGUGCAGAUGCGGACUACGUGCACCCGGACAGAAAGACCCUAUGAAGCUUUACUGUAGCUUGGUAUUGUGCCCGGGCUCUGAAUGCGCAGGAUAGGUGGGAGGCUUUGAUCCAUGGCUUGCGGGUCAUGGUGAGCCAACGGUGAGAUACCACUCUUUCAGAGCUAGGGUUCUAACGGUCACCCGUCAUCCGGGGACCGGACAGUAUCAGGUGGGCAGUUUGACUGGGGCGGUCGCCUCCUAAAAGGUAACGGAGGCGCGCAGAGGUUUGCUCAGGCUGGUUGGAAAUCAGCCGACGAGUGCAAAAGCAGAAGCAAGCUUGACUGUGAGACCUACAAGUCGAACAGGGACGAAAGUCGGCUUUAGUGAUCCGACGGUUCUGAGUGGAAGGGCCGUCGCUCAACGGAUAAAAGUUACUCUAAGGAUAACAGGCUGAUCUCCCCCAAGAGUUCACAUCGACGGGGAGGUUUGGCACCUCGAUGUCGGCUCAUCGCAACCUGGGGCUGAAGUCGGUCCCAAGGGUUGGGCUGUUCGCCCAUUAAAGCGGUACGCGAGCUGGGUUCAGAACGUCGUGAGACAGUUCGGUCCAUAUCCGGUGCACGCGCAGGAACAUUGAGAGGAUUUCUCCCUAGUACGAGAGGACCGGGAGGAACGCACCUCUGGUGUGCCAGUUAUCGUGCCAACGGUAAACGCUGGGUAGCCAUGUGCGGAGUGGAUAACCGCUGAAAGCAUCUAAGUGGGAAGCCCACCUCAAGAUGAGUGUUCCCAUGGCAUAAGCCAGUAAGGUCACGGGAAGAACACCCGUUGAUAGGCUCUACGUGGAAGCCGGGUAACCGGUGAAGCGGAGGAGUACUAAUAGACCGAGGGCUU